rnacentral:rRNA from 1 species
CGAAGGGGCUAGCGUUGUUCGGAAUCACUGGGCGUAAAGGGCGCGUAGGCGGCCGAUCAAGUCGGGGGUGAAAGCCUGUGGCUUAACCACAGAAUGGCCUUCGAUACUGUUUGGCUUGAGACCGGAAGAGGUUAGUGGAACUGCGAGUGUAGAGGUGAAAUUCGUAGAUAUUCGCAAGAACACCAGUGGCGAAGGCGGCUGACUGGUCCGGUUCUGACGCUGAGGCGCGAAAGCGUGGGGGAGCAAACAGGAUU